rnacentral:lncRNA from 1 species
AUUUGGACGUCUAGGUGUCUGAGAUUGUGAUAAUGUGCUGUCCUUCAAGGAAUUAUCUGAAUCUAUUUCUACAGUAUAUUGCAGUGUUUGUUUGCAAGUUUUUAAAUGCUGUGCUCCCAUCUGUCAACUUCAAGUCCAUCCAGUCUAUAUCCUUUUUAAGUGGUGUUAACACAACUUCAUUACGUAGUGAUAUAUACUAUACAAAUGUUAAUUAUGUGUUUGACCUUGUU